rnacentral:rRNA from 1 species
AUUGAACGCUGGCGGCAGGCCUAACACAUGCAAGUCGAGCGGGGUUUUCGGACCUAGCGGCGGACGGGUGAGUAAUGCGUAGGAAACUGCCCGAUAGAGGGGGAUACCAGUUGGAAACGACUGUUAAUACCGCAUAAUGUCUACGGACCAAAGUGUGGGACCUUCGGGCCACAUGCUAUCGGAUGCGCCUACGUGGGAUU